rnacentral:tmRNA from 1 species
GGGGGCGACACGGUUUCGACGGAAGCUGUCGCGGCCAGAAGGCAUGCCGGGCGCCACCUGCCCGUAAUCGGGUGGAAAAACAUAACUGCGAACACUGAGUUCGCUCUCGCAGCCUAGACAAACCUAGUCUGCGCGUCUCGCCUGACCAGCCCGCGGGUCGGGGCCGAGGCGUCACUUAGCGGGCUGGCUGCCGCAUUUCGGUUCGUAAUGCGGCGGCGAGACUCAUCGGACUAGUCGCCGGCGUUUCUUGCCCGCUCUGACCGCCGGCGGCGAACACGCGCUUAUUAACUUGAGAAACCCCGCAAGGGGUCAGCUCGAUCAGAUAGAGCGCCACGCGAACGGGCUAAGCAUGUAGGCUUCUGGUGGCAAGGCUUCUCGGACGGGGGUUCGACUCCCCCCGCCUCCAAAA